rnacentral:rRNA from 1 species
UACAGAGGGGGCAAGCGUUAUUCGGAAUUAUUGGGCGUAAAGGGCGCGUAGGCGGCCUGGCAAGUGGAAGGUGAAAUCCCUCGGCUUAACCGAGGAACUGCCCUCCAAACUGCUUGGCUUGAGUCCGGGAGAGGUGAAUGGAAUUCCCAGUGUAGCGGUGAAAUGCGUAGAUAUUGGGAGGAACACCAGUGGCGAAGGCGGCUCACUGGACCGGAACUGACGCUGAGGCGCGAAAGCGUGGGGAGCAAACAGG